rnacentral:rRNA from 1 species
UACGAAGGGUGCAAGCGUUACUCGGAAUUACUGGGCGUAAAGCGUGCGUAGGCGGUUUGUUAAGUCCGCUGUGAAAGCCCUGGGCUCAACCUGGGAAUUGCAGUGGAUACUGGCAAGCUAGAGUGCGGUAGAGGAUGGUGGAAUUCCCGGUGUAGCGGUGAAAUGCGUAGAGAUCGGCAGGAACACCCAGGGGGAAACCAGUCGACUGGGCAUCUACUGACGCUGAGGUGCGAGAGCGUGGGGAGCGAACCGG